rnacentral:rRNA from 1 species
UACGGAGGGUGCAAGCGUUGUCCGGAAUCACUGGGCGUAAAGGGCGCGUAGGCGGCUCAUGAAGGCUGUGGUGAAAGUCCGGGGCUCAACCUCGGAUCGGCCGUGGCGACUCGUGGGCUGGAGCACUGUAGAGGCGGGUGGAAUUCCGGGUGUAGCGGUGGAAUGCGUAGAGAUCCGGAAGAACACCAGUGGCGAAGGCGGCCCGCUGGGUCGAUACUGACGCUGAGGUGCGAAAGCGUGGGGAGCAAACAGG